rnacentral:misc_RNA from 1 species
GAUGAAGAACGUAUCGAAAUGCGAUAAGUAAUGUGAAUUGCAGAAUUCAGUGAAUCAUCGAAUCUUUGAACGCACAUUGCGCCCGCUAGUAUUCUGGCGGGCAUGCCUGUCCGAGCGUCAUUUCAACCCUCAAGCCCCCGGGCUUGGUGUUGGGGAUCGGCGAGCCUCCGCGCCCGCCGUCCCCUAAAUCUAGUGGCGGUCUCGCUGUAGCUUCCUCUGCGUAGUAGCACACCUCGCACUGGGAAACAGCGCGGCCACGCCGUUAAACCCCCAACUUCUGAACGUUUGACCUCGGAUCAGGUAGGAAUACCCGCUGAACUUAAGCAUAUCAAUAAGCGGAGGA